rnacentral:rRNA from 1 species
AGUGAACGCUGGCGGUAGGCCUAACACAUGCAAGUCGAACGGCAGCACAGUAAGAGCUUGCUCUUACGGGUGGCGAGUGGCGGACGGGUGAGGAAUACAUCGGAAUCUACUUUUUCGUGGGGGAUAACGUAGGGAAACUUACGCUAAUACCGCAUACGACCUACGGGUGAAAGCAGGGGAUCUUCGGACCUUGCGCGAUUGAAUGAGCCGAUGUCGGGUUAGCUAGUUGGCGGGGUAAAGGCCCACCAAGGCGACGAUCCGUAGCUGGUCUGAGAGGAUGAUCAGCCACACUGGAACUGAGACACGGUCCAGACUCCUACGGGAGGCAGCAGUGGGGAAUAUUGGACAAUGGGCGCAAGCCUGAUCCAGCCAUACCGCGUGGGUGAAGAAGGCCUUCGGGUUGUAAAGCCCUUUUGUUGGGAAAGAAAAGCAGCAGGUUAAUACCCCGCUGUUCUGACGGUACCCAAAGAAUGAGCACCGGCUAACUUCGUG